GUCCUCUCCGACCCCUCCCUGUUUUUCAACGCCGCACAAAAUUGCAGUAGCAGCAACCGAGGCCCCUGCUCCCUGCCUCCUCCUUGUCGCCUGUGACCCCGAGCACGCCGCCGCCCUGUUGACCGCCGUCGACCAGGCCAGACCUCCUCUCCUCCUUUCCUUAUCCUUCCCUGCCUCUACUCCCUCCUCUCACAUCUCCCUCUCUCCCUUUCCGUGCAACAGGAGCUAUGUCUCGAUGCCAUGGUCGUCGUCCCGCUUCUUUGAGACCACCCGCCUCCAGCACCCCGUCUGCCCCACCGCGUCGUGAUUCGGCCACCAGGAUCCUCCAGCGUCGUUGCCUCCGCCGUGGAUGCCAAGUCCACAAGCUCUGUCGCUGCAGGGAAUGAGGAGCACGCCUUCCCGAUGCAUGGACCUCACGCCCGGAUCCCGCCAUCCCCGGCGAGCUCCGCCUCCCGUUCCCAUCGCUCCGCCGUGCGCCAAGUCCCCUGCCGUCGCGACUCUGCUUCCACCCCUCUGUCACCGUUGCUCUACAUCCAUACGAGGAGACGACCAGGAGCCAAGCCCAGCGCCUGCGUUGACCGCACCCCCACCAUCUCCUUGUUCGAUCCAGAAAGGCCCAGCUCGCGUCCAGCACGCCAAGGCCCAGCGCCUCUACAACCUCCAGCCGGCCCAUAAGUCCUGGUGAGCAGCCCCCGCUCCUAUGCACUUUGGGCCGGUCAGAUUCGGCCCAGUGUAUAUUUUUUUCAGAUCUGUGAGUUUUCCUUUUUUUUUCAGAGAACCCAGUUUUGUAGAGAACCCCCUAGACUUCAUGCAUUUAAUAACUUCUCAAUCGUGCAUCAUUUGCAAAUAACUUAUAUAUGAAAAAUGCUUAUAAUUGCAUCUAGUUUCGUAAUAUGUCAUUUUCAUCCAUGGUUAAAAUGCUUAAAAUGCUAUUUGUUUAAAUUUGCUUAAAUAACUUGCUAAAAUGAUUUAUUUCAUAAUUAUUUAACCGUAACUCGGAAUUAAAUAACUUUAUAUGUAAAUGGGGUAGAAUUUUGCAUAGUUUAACAUGGUGGCAUCACUUUGCAUGUUUAACAACUAUAAAAUAUGGUUUAGGGCAGAAUAGUACCAAACCUAAUAUAUGCAUAUGAGGAUUUUCCGGAAUUGUUGUUCGUUGUUUCCGGCCUCAUUUAAACUUGACUAGAUAGGUAGUUUUACUUUGCUUCACCCUCUUGCCAUGUUUAACAACAUUUAAUAUUGUUGGGUACAUAAACAAGAUCGAGCUAAAUAAGUCAUGUGGUGUUUUGUCAAUAUGCACCCCGAUGCAUAUUGAGCUCCACUUAAUUUGUAGGGUUGUUUGUGCACUUUGCCAUGCCAUGCCUCAUCAAACCAGACAUGCAUCAUACUUGUUUGCGCAUCAUGCCAUGCUUAUGUGAUGAUUGUUUACUAUGUUGUUUGCUUUCUUUCCGGUGUACUUCUUCUCGGUAAUCCAUAAUGUUGCGUUUGUGAGGAUCCGUUGGCUACGUCCGUUUGUCUUCUUCAUGGACUCGUUCUUCUUCCUUGCGGGAUCUCAGUUUGUAGGUGCCGAUGAAAUCGCGCAGGUGACGCAACCGAGCUCAAGGAGGAGCUCGAUGAAGACCUUGCUCGUUAUGUUGUUCCGUUUUUCAGUUGAUCAGUAGUGGAGCCCAGUUGGGAUGAUCGAGGAUCUGUGUAGCUUUUGGGGUAGUCUUCUUUUAUUUUGGUUCCAUAGUCGGACCUUGUGUGUAUCUGGAUGAUGUAAUGCUUUAUUCAUGUAUUGUGUGAAGUGGCGAUUGUAAGCCAACUAUGUAUCUUUUUCCCUUAUGUAUUACAUGGGUUGUGUGAAGAUUACCUCACUUGCGACAUUGCUUACAAUGCGGUUAUGCCUCUAAGUCAUGCUUCGACACGUGGGAGAUAUAGCCGCAUCGUGGGCGUUACAAUACAUCUUCCUUUUUGAAGGCUGAAACAUUCUGGAAGGUGUUCCUUAUAUACUCCUCCG
rnacentral:rRNA from 1 species